AUCACUUCUCAGUCUUUUGGCUAGUAGCAAGCAUAGUAUUUGUUCUUAUUAGUUUACUAUCUGAUACAUUUCUAUAUGAGGACAUUGUAGUAAAUGUAUUUUUGGAGCAGGAAGAUGGAAUAGGAUCUUGCUCAGUCCACUUCACGCAUUAACCCAGUUUGCAGUACUUCCAGGAAUGCGCACCCCUC